AUUAAAUAAAACAUGGAAAAUCACCUAUAACUCGUGUUAGCCUUUUUUUUUUGCAUGCGAUGCUUACAUUUAUUUAAAUAUUUUCUAAAGAUUCAGCAGGUGACAUCACAGUCCAGUAUAUUCUUGGCACAGCAAGGCAUUACAUUGAAACAAUGUUUCUGUGUCUCCUCCCACGUUUACUAUGCAUAAUGACAGGAACAGGCGGAGCUUAUAACAAUGAUUGUCAGGGAGCCAAGAUAGAGGGGCACAGGUUCUAUAAAACAGCUGUUCGCGAAAUCUGGGAAAAAUUGUAUGUAGAAAUCCAAAAACAUUAUUUAUAUAGUUACAUAUAGUUACACUGCUGAAAAGAGAGACGUGUCCAUCAAGUUCAGCCUUCCUCACAUUUGUUUUUUUGCUGUUGAUCCAAAAGAAGGCAAACAAAAAACAUCUAGUUGCUGUUUAAACAUCUGUACGGACUUUUAUGAAAAAAAAAAAAACUCUUCAGACAGAGAAUUCCACAUCCUUAUUGUUCUUACAGUAAAAAAAAAUGUUUUUUCUUUGCCUUAGACUAAAUCUUCUUUCUUCCAGUCUAAACGCAUGACCUUGUGUCCUAUGUAAAGUCCUGUUUGAGAAUAGAUUUCCAGAUAAUGGUUUGUAUUGGCCCCGGAUAUAUUUGUAUAAUGUUAUCAUAUCCCCUCUUAUAAAUAGAGGAUAGUAUACACAAUUUAAAAAAAUCAUGGGAACUGACAUUUCAUUUUACAUUUUGAAUGCAUCUCUAAUAUUCUCAUAACCUAGAUAACCAUUUAGUGAAAAAAACAUUAAAAUUGCCCCUUCCUAAAUCUCACAGCUGCUACCAUUCUUUACUCCAGACCACACAAGUCUUUAGAGGACUGGCAGUUUGAUUCAGAAUCUUGAUAACAAUUUACAAUCGUUCUAGGAAAGUUUUUUUCCCCCCGCAAUGACCACAACACUGUCACACAGCAGCAUUGCCGGGUUGGGAAUAAAUCUACUGGAUAGGUUUACUAAGAAAAUAGUCACUUUUAAAAGGUCUGUGCAACUUUUACCCUUGUUUAUUGGCAUCAUUCACGCUUCUUUAAUGCUUUCAGGCUUAUAAGGAAAACCGAUGUUGAUCAAUAUUGCAGCCAUCUUUAAAAUGGGCCUAAUCCGGGCCUUUAAAUUACUGGCUGACAUCUGUAGCAUGCAACAUUUGAUCUUUGUCUUGUACCAAUGAUGUGGAUUUAGGAAUCUAAAGUUAAAGAGAACAUCAAAGAUUCUUGGAGUUGCAGCAUGGUCUUACUUUAAAAAGGGCUGUAAGACAGGGUCGCAGGCGAAUAAGAUAUAUUGUAUCAAGCAUAACCCCCCGACUAGUAAUCAGAAACACAAUUCAGUUGAGGUCAUUCCCAAGAAGCGACGGAGGACAAUUGCCAAAAACAACAACUUCCUGGCCAAUCAGUUGUCCCUGCGUUCUGUCAACCAAUCAAAAUAUUUCGCCCGCACCUCCCUGUUCGUCUAUGGAGCACUCCUUCUGCCACGCGUCCCUUCCUGUCCACAAGCACUGUCAGUCUAUAUUUAAUUAUAUAGGAUUUUUUUUUUCUUCUUCUUCAUCUUCAAGGAAACAUCUGGAAGAGGGGUAUAAGACAAGAAGAAAUAAAAACGAAUGUUCAGUGGGGCAGAGGAGGAGUACAGAGAAC
rnacentral:lncRNA from 1 species